GACGAACGCUGGCGGCGUGCUUAACACAUGCAAGUCGAACGGAAAGGCCCUGCUGUUGUGGGGUGCGCGAGUGGCGAACGGGUGAGGAACACGUGAGUAACCUGCCCUUGACUUUGGGAUAACUUCAGGAAACUGGGGCUAAUACCGGAUAGGAGCUCCUGCUGCAUGGUGGUGGUUGGAAAGUUUCGGCGGUUGGGGAUGGACUCGCGGCUUAUCAGCUUGUUGGUGGGGUAGUGGCUUACCAAGGCUUUGACGGGUAGCCGGCCUGAGAGGGUGACCGGCCACAUUGGGACUGAGAUACGGCCCAGACUACUACGGGAGGCAGCAGUGGGGAAUAUUGCACAAUGGGCGGAAGCCGGAUGCAGCAACGCCGCGUGCGGGAUGACGGCCUUCGGGUUGUAAACCGCUUUCGCCUGUGACGAAGCGUGAGUGACGGUAAUGGGUAAAGAAGCACCGGCUAACUACGUG
rnacentral:rRNA from 1 species